rnacentral:rRNA from 1 species
UACGAAGGGGGCUAGCGUUGUUCGGAUUUACUGGGCGUAAAGCGCGUGUAGGCGGGCUGGAAAGUUGGGGGUGAAAUCCCGAGGCUCAACCUCGGAACUGCCUCCAAAACUUCCGGCCUGGACUCAAGCAGAGGCAAGUGGAAUUGCGAGUGUAGAGGUGAAAUUCGUAGAUAUUCGCAGGAACACCAGUGGCGAAGGCGACUUGCUGGGCUUGUAGUGACGCUGAGACGCGAAAGCGUGGGGAGCAAACAGGAUUAGAUACCCCGGUU